GCAUGUGGUUUAAUUCGAAGCAACGCGAAGAACCUUACCAGGCCUUGACAUGCAGAGAACUUUCCAGAGAUGGAUUGGUGCCUUCGGGAACUCUGACACAGGUGCUGCAUGGCUGUCGUCAGCUCGUGUCGUGAGAUGUUGGGUUAAGUCCCGUAACGAGCGCAACCCUUGUCCUUAGUUACCAGCACGUUAUGGUGGGCACUCUAAGGAGACUGCCGGUGACAAACCGGAGGAAGGUGGGGAUGACGUCAAGUCAUCAUGGCCCCUUACGUCCAGGGCUACACACGUGUUACAAUGGCCGGUACAAUGAGUUGCGACCACUGCAAAGGUAAGCCAAUCUCAAAAAACCGGUCUCAGUUCGGAUUGCAGUCUGCAACUCGACUGCAUGAAGUUGGAAUCGCUAGUAAUCGUA
rnacentral:rRNA from 1 species